AAAACUUUCUAACAACGGAUCUCUUGGUUCUCGCAUCGAUGAAGAACGCAGCGAAAUGCGAUACGUAAUGUGAAUUGCAGAAUACCGUGAAUCAUCGAAUCUUUGAACGCACAUUGCGCCCCUUGGUAUCCCAAGGGGCAUGCCUGUUUGAGCGUCAU
rnacentral:rRNA from 1 species